AUACCUAUUUCGGUCUUUUGGUUAAGAUCAAGUGUAUAGUAUUUGUUUUUAUUAGUUUAAUAUUUGAUAUGUGAAUCAUAUUGCUCACUUAGAUAUUAUAUUUGUUUUUUGCGGGGGAGGGUCCAUUACAGUGGCUUGUACCAGUUGCCACUGGUGCCCUUGAGCGUCGUCCAGCCGUUACUGCUGGCAGGCCUGGUGCGCCCCAA